rnacentral:rRNA from 1 species
UAUCAAUAAGCGGAGGAAAAGAAACUAACAAGGAUUCCCCUAGUAACUGCGAGUGAAGCGGGAAAAGCUCAAAUUUAAAAUCUGGUGGCCUUUGGCCAUCCGAGUUGUAAUUUAGAGAAGCGUCUUCCGCGCUGGACCGUGCACAAGUCUCCUGGAAUGGAGCCUCAUAGAGGGUGAGAAUCCCGUCUUUGGCAUGGACUCCCGGUGCUUCUGUGAUGCGCUCUCGACGAGUCGAGUUGUUUGGGAAUGCAGCUCAAAAUGGGUGGUGAACUCCAUCUAAAGCUAAAUAUUGGCGAGAGACCGAUAGCGAACAAGUACCGUGAGGGAAAGAUGAAAAGCACUUUGGAAAGAGAGUGAAACAGUACGUGAAAUUGUUGAAAGGGAAACGCUUGAAGUCAGUCGCGUCGACCGAGACUCAGCCUUGCCUCGGCUUGGUGUACUUCUCGGCUUGACGGGUCAGCAUCGAUUUCGAUCCUCGGAUAAUGGCAAGGGAAAGGUGGCACCUUUUUAGGUGUGUUAUAGUCCUCUGUCGCAUGCGAGGGUCGGGAUCGAGGAACUCAGCACGCACCUCCGGGUGUCGGGGCCUUGGCCCACGUUACGUGCUUAGGAUGCUGGCGUAAUGGCUUUAAACGACC